AAAAAAAUCACUUCAAAACGAGGGCAUUGCCAUGUAAUGUCUUGGGUUUAAAAUCUUAAACUCUUUUCCAUGGAAAAUUUUAAAAGUGCAUUUAACUUUGCAUUAACAACAUUUUAUGUUAUCUAUUAGUUUUAGAAAAUAAAAUCUGAUUUUCCUUCAGUUUAUUUUACUCAGGCGGAUCUUGCCUUUAUACAAUACUUUACACUUAUAAUACUUAACUCUUGUAGUUAGAUAGUAAUCUUAACAUUGCUGGCUAAAAACUAUUUUAACAAAUGUAGUUUUUGAUUUUUAUGAGUAUGAGUGUUUUGCUGCACAUAUGUCUGUGCAUCCUGUGCAUACAGGGCCCACAGAGGCCAGAGGAGGCUGUCAGACCCCUUGGAACUCAAGUUUCAGAUGCUUGUGAGCUGCUGCAUCUAUGCCGAGAACUGAACCCUGGCCCUCCGCAAGAGUAACCAGUGGUCUUAAUGCUUUGUCAUCUCUCCAGCCUCCUAAAGGCAUAUUUAUUAAAUAUAAUCUCAUGAGGAAAUUUAACCUUGUAUGGUUAAGGAAUUAAAUGAUAGUUUUGUUGCAUUAAAAAGGAGGUAUGUAACACUUCUGCUCACACAUUGCACUCUGUCUUUAUCACCUCUCUUGGGAUAAAGAAUAACAUCCUAUCUUUAGUUCUUCAGGUUUCAGUCUGUGUGGACUCCAAAAACCCACUUUCUUUCCUAAUUUGCCGCGCUGCAGAGGAAUAGAAGGUGAAGCCAUGUACGCAGUUGCGUGUGUGGUGUGAAGCUACUUUUCAAGUGUUGUUCCCCGUCUGUCUUUCUUUCUCUCUCCCCCAGAAUCCAGAUUCUCUUCAGUGUUGUCCCCCUGCCCCUCUGUGCAGUGUAGACUCAGUGGUACAUAAAGAAGACGACGACAGGAUGAUGGACACUGUGUGACUCAGCGAGACCGCUGAGCCCAAGGACUAGUUUGUUACGAGAAAGGAAGAGCCUGCCUAUUUUUUGACACUUUUAUGGGUGCUGCACUUUAUUUCUGUUCGGUUUUGAUGGGAGGGAAAGAGAACUGAAAUGUUUUGCAACUUUUUUUAUGUGCUGCUAGGGUUUUUGUUGUGUUGUUGUUUUGUUUCUGAAGGGAAGGUAACCAUGUGUUGCAGGAAGUCGAACUGGACGGACUCUUCCCCCACCCCUCAGUUACUAAAUUUGCCUUUAACUGUUCUUAGUUUGGGAAUCAAAGUAUGAAAAUGUGCACAAUGCAAUGUUUACAAGACUGGUUGGCUGAGGAGACAUCUGCUACAUGGUCUUUUCUACAUGGACAUAUACAUGUCCUCUUUCUCGGAAAGAACUGAAGCUAAGAGUAUGCUGUGUCCCACUGCAAAGUUCAGCUGUCAAAUCUGCUAUUCAUCCCAUUAAAGCAAUAAAUCAGAGUGGUGACUACUUACCAAGGAGCAGGCUGGGCGGCACGGAUGCUACUUUAAGAUAUCUACAUGUGUAUUUUCGGCACCACCAGUUAACUCCUUGUCUACUAUAAAUUUGAUAUUAAAACAUUGCAUCUAUCCCUAAAGUAAUCUUAAAACUAUUCGAAGUUGAGUUUGUCCUGAUGACUGUUUAAAUAUUAAGGAGGAUAGUGAGUGUAGAAAACAGUGCGGUUUUCUGUUUUUCCAAGAAGAUAAAAUGCAAGGUUACUCUAAUUUACUUGACACAGUCUGGGACCUCUCAGGGAGUAAGUUAAAAGAAUAGUAAGGGCUGUAAGAACAUUCAGGAAGAGUAACGUCCUUGUUAAGUCACAGUUCCUGUGUUUCUUGUGGUGAAGCCUUGAGAAAUGAAGAGCUGAGCUGCCAGCCAUGCCUAAGGAUUUGAUAACAGUCCCUCCCCUUCAGUGGCGGUGAUGGUCUCGCUCUCUGCUACUUGCUUCUAGCUUGGUUACUAGAGGAUGCUUCUGAUUUUUACUUCUUCCUGUGUAAUUCAUUGCAGAUCCUCCAGGAUGUCUGAUGAUUCUUUUAUUUAGAAUUAGAUGACAGUGCCAAUUAUGAUAUCCUUAUUAUUUGAGGAUUAAUCUUCCAGCAUACAGGAGCACUAGCUUUGGUUAUUUUCAAGUGUAAUCUUUGGCUCAGUGCCCACUUCAGUUUGUAGCAAAUAUCUGGAAAGUGGGUACCUGGGUUUGGGAAUGCAGGUCUCAGUUUGGUAAGGAAAUCAUGCUAAGCAGCCUUGGGCGCUCAGAGCUGUGACCUCUGCCCCGGAUGUCCUUUUCAGCUGAUGGGGCACCUAAUACUGUGGACAUGGACUGGAAUUGUUGAAUCAUGCUCCUGUAAUGUCACAAUCUUCCUAGUUUUCCCAGAAUAAAAGUCUUUUUGUGCUUUUGAUAUAAAUAUAUAUACUCUAUAAUAAAAUGUCUGACUAAUUUAUAUGGCA
rnacentral:lncRNA from 1 species